AAAGGGGCUUCGGCCCUGAGUAAAGUGGCGCAUGGGUGAGUAACACGUGGGUAACCUGCCUCUGAGAUCGGGAUAACCUGUCGAAAGACGGGCUAAUACCGGAUAAGACCACAAUUCCUGCGGGGAUCGAGGUCAAAGGUAGCCUCUAUUUAUAAGCUAUCACUUAGAGAUGGGCCUGCGUACCAUUAGCUAGUUGGUAGGGUAACGGCCUACCAAGGCUAAGAUGGUUAGCUGGUCUGAGAGGAUGAUCAGCCACACUGGAACUGAGACACGGUCCAGACUCCUACGGGAGGCAGCAGUGGGGAAUAUUGCGCGAUGGGCGAAAGCCUGACGCAGCAACGCCGCGUGGGUGAUGAAGGCCUUCGGG
rnacentral:rRNA from 1 species